CAGCAGCCGCGGGAACACGGAGGGUGCAAGCGUUAAUCGGAAUUACUGGGCGUAAAGCGUGCGUAGGCGGUUCGUUAAGUCUGUUGUGAAAGCCCCGGGCUCAACCUGGGAAUGGCAAUGGAUACUGGCGAGAUAGAGUGUGUCAGGGGAUGGUGGAAUUCCCGGUGUAGCGGUGAAAUGCGUAGAGAUCGGGAGGAACAUCAGUGGCGAAGGCGGCCAUCUGGGACAACACUGACGCUGAGGCACUAAAGCGUGGGGAGCAAACAGGAUUAGAUACCCCGGUAGUCCCUGUCUCUUAUAC
rnacentral:rRNA from 1 species